CAUCUUGCUUCCUGCCAGCAGCUGUAGUGGGAGAGCGUUUGUUCCGUUGUUGUGUGUUACGUAUGUGGGUAUAGCGUGUGUGAGUGUUUACGGGUGUUGACUUGUGCAACCGGUAGUCACUACUAAUCCACCUGCAUUCAUUUCUACAUUGUGCCGGGACGUCCUUCUCGCCAAUAGAUAUGCAAGCAGCCGUCGAUUGACAGUUUCAGCGAGGAAUCGCUGACAGCGUGAGCCAGCAUCCGUCGCCGUUCCCUGCGACCGAACUGCACGUUGGAGGAACAAGACGUAUUAGCACGAGUUGUAUGAGAUAGCUUCGUCCGUAAAGGAUUUGACAGUGUAUGGAAGGAAGGUGGCGGUGAGCGGCAGGUAGCGACGGCCGCGUAGCAGGUGCGCGGCAGAGGCGGCGGAGAGGGCGGGGCCCCCCCAUGCUCACGCUACGCCUCGUCUCGACGCACUUCCUGAAGCAGCCGUAGGCGGCCGCCCGGCCACGUCAGCAUGUGCCGCGACCGGGACAUGAACCCGUGACGCUCCCAGUCUGUCUGUCUCUCUCUCGCGCUCACGACUAACCGAACCCAUCCGACCCAUCCGAAAAGGACUGAACCUCGCGAGGACAGUAACCAAGUACACACGCCAUCGAGAGCAUCGCUACACGCAUUCUUCUGUUCUUUACGACUACCGUACUGUGAUCUGUGAGAAAGAAAACGAAAAGAAUCAAGAAAGGAAAAAAAAGAAAGAACGCCUCAGACACCAGCCGACACCUCCAAUCUGUGGAACAUCGCAAGGAUCUGUAUCUGCGGCGGCAACGACAGCUGUUGCGACAAGCAGAGCGCGGCGAUGCGUCGACCGGCGACGCUGUGCGGCUGCGACGCGCCGGGCGAGGAGUGCUGCUACGCGACGGAGGCGCCGUGCGGCGGCGCGGGC
rnacentral:lncRNA from 1 species